ensembl:snoRNA
GCUUGAAUGAUGACUUAAUUUCUUUUGUCGGAUACCCCUUCACUCUCCAAUGAGUGAGCUCCUUUCUCUGACGACGC